rfam:Triticum aestivum genome assembly, contig: Triticum_aestivum_CS42_TGACv1_scaffold_646402_T_5DL-0.038528_3DL-0.032455
UAUGUACUCCCUCCGUCCCAAAAUUCUUGUCUUAGAUUUGUCUAGAUACGGAUGUAUCAAGUCAUGUUUUAGUAUUAGAUACAUCCGUAUCUAGACCAAUCUAAGACAAGAAUUUUGGGACGGAGGGAGUAUCUA